GCCAAUAUUAGUAAUAAUUAUUAUAACUUAUGCCAUUUACGCAUAUUAUCAAACACCUUGUAGGCAUAGAUAUUUACACCUCAUAACUAUUGUCUUUGUUCAUCCAACUAUCACCAUUAAUCUACAAUUUAUUCCACCAUCAUUCCUAACCAAUUUAUAACUUCCAACAGCACGUGUGUAACAACCCAUCUUCACGCAACCAACAAAUUUCCAUCAAAUAAUUACCUUUAAUCUCUACAAUAAUUAAGUGUUUAUAUUAUAAACUUAUGGCUUCUAAUCACCACAUCAAAAGUCCCAAUACCUAAUUCACAC
rnacentral:lncRNA from 1 species